rnacentral:rRNA from 1 species
UUUUCUGCCACCGAAUACAUUAGCAUGGGAUAAUGGAAUAGGACCCUGUCCUCCUAUUUUCAGUUGGUUUUGGCAGCGCGAGGACUAGGGUAAUGAUUAAUAGGGAUAGUUGGGGGCAUUAAUAUUUAAUUGUCAGAGGUGAAAUUCUUGGAUUUAUGAAAGAUUAACUUCUGCGAAAGCAUCUGCCAAGGAUGUUUUCAUUAAUCAAGAACGAAAGUUAGGGGAUCGAAGACGAUCAGAUACCGUCGUAGUCUUAACCAUAAACGAUGCCGACCAGCGAUUAGGAGACGUUGAAUACAAAACACCACCAUCGGUGCGGUCGUCCUUGGCGUCGGUCUUUCGGGGCCGGCGCGGGGACGGCUUAGCCCGGUGGCACCGGUGAAUGACUCCCU